rnacentral:lncRNA from 1 species
AUGUCAAAAAGUGCAUCAGAAAUUUGGGAGUUUUUCCAGCGACAAGCGGACAAUUCCCAACAACGGAGUCGAUCACUCAGGAAUACUAGAAGAAUUAAGGGAGUAAAUGAGGUUCAAAUUGGCGAGUCAACUUCGGGAAUCAAAGAAGUCAAGGAGAUGGUUGAAGGUCUUGCUCGACAAAUAGCAUCGUUAUCGACUGCUAAAUCAACAGAAUCACAUGACCCUGACUCAUAUCCAGAUCAAGCCAAUGCCAUAGGUGUAAUGAGAAAGCCAUCUAAUUACAACCCAUACUCCAACACAUAUAACCCUGGAUGGAGAGACCACCCUAAUUUUUCAUGGUCUCAAGGAUUCCAACAGAAUGGACCAGCAGCUCCAGCUCCACCAAUGCAACCAAUUCCUCAAAAUCCUCAAGCCUCUCAGCCCCCAUUUAGACCAUUCAAUCAGAACCAGAACUACUCUCAACCCAGAUCAUGGGAGGAUUCAUUCCAGAAUUUCAAGAAUGCUACUCACUCUACGAUUGAGCAACAGAACCGCACCAUUGAUGGACUACGAAAUGAGUUGAGAGCGGGCUUCAAUUCACAAGCCCAAUCAGUUUCAAGCCUCGAGAAGAUGGUGGGACAGCUUGCUUCUUCAGUUCAGACCUUGGCAAUGACUGUUGAGAAAGGCAAGUUUCCGAGUCAACCAGUGCCUAAUCCUAAAGGAGUGUAUGAAGCAAGUACCAGUUCACCACAGCAGCAUGGAGAGGUCAAAGCAGUAAUGACCUUGCGAAAAGGAAAGGAAGUCGACAAUAAAGUGGAGAUGCCGGUGACAAAAGAAAAUCAAAUUGUACCUGUAAAUGCUGAGGACUCACCACCGGAGGAGAAAGAAGAAACCAACCCACGAGAAUACGUUCCGAAAGCUCCAUUUCCUCAGAGGUUAGCUAAAGGGAAAAAGGGAAAAUCCACAGGUGAGAUUCUCGAAAUCUUCAAACAGGUAAGUGUUAACAUCCCUUUACUUGAUGCUAUUAAACAAGUUCCAUCUUAUGCCAAGUUUCUUAAAGACCUUUGUACUAAAAAGAGAAAUAUGCAUGUUCAAAAGAAGGCAUUUUUAACAGAAAACGUUAGUUCUAUACUCCAACAUAAAAUUCCUUUAAAAUGCAAAGACCCAGGCUCCCCCACUAUCUCAUGUAGUAUAGGGAACCACACAAUUGAGAAUGCUUUGUUGGAUUUAGGAGCUAGUGUAAAUCUUUUACCUUACUCUGUAUUCGUGAAACUUGGAUUGGGAGAAUUACACCCAACUCCAGUGGUGUUACAGCUUGCAGAUCGGUCCACGAAAAUACCUCGUGGUAUUGUGGAGGACGUGCUUAUCCAGGUAGACAAGUUUUAUUUUCCUGUUGAUUUCAUUGUAAUUGACACUCAACCAAUACAGGACUCAAGGAAGCACAUCCCCAUUAUUCUAGGCCGACCUUUCUUGGCAACUGCAGAUGCUCAUAUUCAAUGUAGGACCGGAAAUAUGCAAUUGUCCUUCGGCAACAUGACUAUGGAGCUAAACAUUUUCAACAUUGCCAAACAACCUCACAGUGCAGAUGAUGAAAUUGUUGAUGUGGAUUUAAUAGAAACAAUAGUCGAUAAUACUUUUAUUUCAAACCUUAGUGAUGACCCUUUACAAACAUGUUUAACUCACUUUGGUUUGGAUUUUGAUAUUGACAGAUCGGUCGAAGAGGUCAACGCCCUACUUGACUCAGCACCAUCCAUGGACACUAAUAAAUGGAAGUCAAGAGUUGAACAACUAGCACCAUCAGAGAAGAAACUCAUUCCAUCAUCAGAAUCACCACCGAAACUCGAGCUCAAACCAUUACCCAACACUCUGGAAUAUGCAUUUUUGGGAGAAGAAAGCACUCUACCAGUAAUCAUCUCAUCAUCCCUAAAUGACGAACAAAAAGGUAAGUUGUUGGAUGUUUUAAAAGAGCACAAAGGAGCAUUAGGAUGGACCAUAGCAGACAUAAAAGGUAUAAAUCCAGUAGACUGCAUGCAUUACAUUCACCUUGAUGAAAAUGCUAAAACUACUAGGGAGAUGCAACGUCGGUUAAAUCCUAACAUGAAAGAAGUUGUUAGAACUGAAGUCCUUAAGCUAUUAGAUGCAGGUAUCAUUUACCCAAUUUCUGAUAGUUCAUGGGUCAGUCCUGUACAAGUCGUCCCCAAAAAGUCAGGAGUCACAGUAGUUACCAAUGCUGAUAAUGAAUUGAUACCAACUAGAGUAACUACAGGAUGGCGUGUAUGCAUUGAUUAUAGAAAGUUGAAUUCUGUCACACGUAAAGACCAUUUUCCUUUACCAUUUAUUGAUCAAAUGCUUGAUAGAUUAGCAGGCCAUGAAUUUUAUUGCUUUCUAGAUGGCUACUCAGGAUAUAAUCAGAUUCCCAUAGCACCAAAAGAUCAAGAGAAGACCACUUUCACUUGUCCUUUUGGCACAUUUGCAUAUAGGAGAAUGCCAUUUGGAUUAUGUAAUGCACCUGCUACAUUUCAACGAUGCAUGUUGAGCAUUUUUUCUGAUAUGGUUGAACGAUUCCUUGAAGUCUUUAUGGAUGAUUUUUCUGUCUUUGGUGACUCGUUUGAUCAAUGUUUACAUCAUCUAACGCUAGUUCUGCAGAGAUGUACCGAGAAGAGUUUAGUCUUAAAUUGGGAGAAGUGCCAUUUUAUGGUAAAACAAGGUAUUGUUCUCGGUCAUAUCAUUUCAAGCAAAGGUAUUGAGGUUGACAAAGCCAAGGUGGAUCUCAUUUCUAAUCUUCCUCCACCCAAAACAGUCAGAGAAGUAAGAUCUUUCCUUGGGCAUGCUGGUUUCUAUAGACGUUUCAUUAAAGAUUUUAGCAAAGUUUCUAGACCCUUAUGUAAUUUACUUGCUAAGGAUGUACCUUUUAUCUUUAAUGAUUCAUGUCUCAUGGCGUUUGAAAAAUUAAAGCAGUUGUUGACAUCAUCACCCAUCAUUCAGGCCCCAAACUGGAGCUUACCAUUUGAGCUCAUGUGUGAUGCAUCUGAUUAUGCAGUAGGAGCAGUAUUAGGACAAAGAGUUGAUCGAAUUCCCCACGUUAUUUACUAUGCUAGUAUGACAUUGAAUGAUGCACAGUUGAAUUAUUCAACUACUGAAAAAGAAAUGCUAGCAGUAGUGUUUGCAUUAGAAAAAUUUCGAUCUUAUCUCAUUGGUUGUAAAAUAAUUAUAUUCACAGAUCAUGCUGCUCUUAAAUAUCUUCUCACAAAGAAAGAUGCAAAAGCCAGACUAAUUCGUUGGGUGUUACUUUUGCAGGAGUUUGACUUGGAAUUCAAAGAUAAGAAAGGCACAGAGAAUGUUGUAGCUGACCAUCUCUCUCGCCUCCAUUUUGACACAAUUACAGAGCCAUUAAUAUUAAAUGAGUCAUUUCCAGAUGAACAAUUGAUGAAUGUGGAAGUAUUACCUUGGUAUGCUGAUAUAGUUAAUUAUCUUGUUACAGGUAAACUUCCAGAGCAUUGGACCAAGCAAGACAAGGCUAAAUUCUUUGCGGAAAUAAAGAAUUUCUUUUGGGAUGACCCAUAUUUGUUCAAGUAUUGUGCAGACCAAAUUGUUAGACGAUGUGUCCCUGAAAAUGAAAUUCAGAAUAUUCUUUCAUUCUGCCAUGAACAAGCGUGUGGAGGCCAUUUUAGUGCUAAGAAAACAGCUACAAAAGUUUUACAAUGUGGUUUCUAUUGGCCAACUAUAUUUCGAGAUGCUUACACUUUCUGUUCUUCAUGUGAUAGGUGUCAACGAAUGGGGAGCAUUACACGAAGGAACAUGAUGCCACUAAAUCCAAUUUUAGUGGUUGAGAUUUUUGACGUAUGGGGUAUCGACUUCAUGGGACCCUUUCCCCCUUCUUUUGGCCAUCAAUACAUAUUGGUUGGUGUUGACUACGUCUCGAAAUGGGUAGAAGCAAUUCCAUGCAGAACCAAUGAUCACAAAGUGGUGAUAGGAUUUUUGAAAAGCAACAUUGUUUCACGCUUUGGAUUCCCUCGAGCAAUAAUCAGUGAUGGUGGUGCCCACUUUUGUAACAAAGCAUUCAAGGCUCUUUUGACAAAGUAUUCAAUCACACACAAAGUGGCGACCCCGUAUCAUCCGCAAACCAGUGGCCAAGUUGAGAUCUCCAAUCGAGAAAUCAAGCACAUAUUAGAAAAAACAGUGAGGCCAGACAGAAAAGAUUGGUCAUUACGACUUGAUGAUGCAUUAUGGGCAUAUAGAACGGCUUUCAAGACCCCGAUUGGGAUGUCACCCUACAGGCUAGUGUAUGGAAAAGCUUGCCACCUACCUGUGGAACUCGAGCAUCGUGCAUAUUGGGCCAUCAAGAAAUUCAACUUUGACAUGCAGCAAGCCAGCUCAGAGAGAAGAUUACAACUGGCAGAACUUGAAGAAAUUCGCAAUGAUGCAUACGAAAAUGCCAAGAUUUACAAGCAACGAAUGAAAGUCUUUCACGACAAGCAAAUUAUGAGAAAAUCAUUCACUCCAGGUCAGAAAGUGCUUUUAUUCAAUUCUCGCUUGCACCUAUUCCUAGGUAAGUUACGCUCUCGAUGGUCUGGUCCCUUUAUUGUUCAUACUGUUUUUCCACAUGGGGCAAUUGAAAUUAAGGACCCAAAGAACGGUGUCGCGUUUAAAGUUAAUGGUCAAAGAUUAAAGCCAUAUCUAGAAUACCAACCACAUGGAGAAGACACCGAAAUAAAUUUGAGUGACCCACCAGAUUUGAAUUGAUUUUUUUUUUUUUUCUUUUCGUUGAUUUGAUUUUUCUUUCUUUCUUUUUAUUAUUCUUUUGCUAAUUGAAAUUAUUUUUGCAUAAGUGUGUUUGUUUAACAAUUAAGUUUUCUCUUAUCAUUUUUAAUCAUGAGUCUCAUACUUAGACCGUUCCUCCUGAACAUUCUUAAACCACUUCAACGUGUCAAAACUCAUCUCAAAAGGCAGAUUCUAUUUUGUAAAACACAACGCAUUUGGGCUCUACAACCACCAGAGUUAGUAGCCUAUGUUGAGGGUUUAGAACGCCAACUCAGAGACAUUGAGAGAAGUGUUUACGACAUCCAGUUGGAGCUUGAGGUAAAUUCAAUAAGAGGACGAUUUUAAUUUUCUUUGUGUGUUUUAAUUUGUUUUUCUGUUUGUGUGCUUUAGUUUGUUACCCCGGUGAAGUGGCGGAUAACGGUACUCCGUGACAAUCAAGUCGGUUAACUUCAGUUUCCCAUAAUAACUGAUAUUCUGAGGCGAAAGUAUGGACAGAAACGAGAUUCUAGCGAAGCUUCACAAGCGAUUCCCUUCACUUCCUCAGAAUGCCCUCCUUACGAUCUAUAAAGCUCGGACCGAACGCAUGCGAUUACUCAUGAAGAAUAACAUACCUGCUGACAUCCGUUGGUUAAUCGAGGCUAAAGUACGAUCGGCAGGUGAGUUACCUCCAAAAUUUAUUGCAUACAUGCCUGGUUGUGGUAAAGGAAAUUACGCAAGAAAACGACGAGCUCGGAGAAUUUCUGUUGCUUGUCACAAGUGUGCCAGAAUGAGUUGCGAUAGAAACCCAUGUUCUUUAGGAAUGGUGUCUGAUAACAGAGAAGAUAAGAUUCAAUUCAUUAGGGAUGGCUUGAAUAAGGAGUCAUUGGAUGAUAUCCUUUUGUCUCUUGAAACGCAUCCCAGUGGAUAUGUGCAAGGAGCGAUUCUCCAGUUAUGGCCAUUAUUCCAGAAAGAGCAUGCACGAUAUAGUCUCGGGAAUCUGACUAUAAACGACCCUGUUUGCCAGUUUAUAAGAAAACUGGAUGGGAAGCCCAUCCUCGACCCAUAGAGGGCGUUCAAGCCGUUUCUGGACGUAAAACCAGAGGAAGAUGUGAGCCACAGUCGCAACUACGCGUAAAUAUCCUUUUACUUUACUGUUAUUUUAUUUCAUUUCACUGUUGUUUUAUUGUUUGCAUUAUUGUCUUUAAUAAUUUUGUUACUGUUUGCUUUUUCCUUUUUACUGUUUCCUUUUUGACUCGCGAGCCACGUGCUUUACGCGUUAUUUGACACUGACAUGUUACCUUAUUCACAGCUGUGAUCCACUGUCACCAAGAUUCUUAAAUGUGAUUUAUCUUUUGUCAAGCACUUACAAAUUGUUUUUGAGAAGUAUCACAAUGGCAGCUACUCCCAAUAGACAAUUCAAGAACAUUUGUGUGCUUUCUGGAUUUACCUAUGGCAAACAUAAAGAGUUCGUGGAGGCAGCCAUAGAUCUUGGUCGAAGCAUAGCAGCGAGAAAAUUACAUUUGGUGUAUGGAGGAGGUAACCGAGGGUUAUCAAAAAUGGUCUCAGAAGCAGCUUUUAUCAGAGGAAGUCAAGUGUUAGGCAUCAUCCCAAGAGUCCUCAAACCAUUGGGCAGUUCGUCUGACUCAUCAACUGGAGAAGAGUUAGUCGUCUCAGGUAUGCAAGAAAGAAUAACUGAAAUGCUUAAUCAUGCUGAUGCUUUUAUUUUCCUUCCAGGAGAUCUUGCAACACUAGAGGCACUUAUGACACUAGCAUCUUGGGCCCAUCUGCACAUCCACCAGAAACCCAUCGGUUUGUUAAAUGUCAAUAACUUUUAUGAUGGCUUUAUCGCAUUUCUUAACCAUGCAAUAAAAAACUAUUUCAUUCCUUCUAAUGUGAAAAAACUCUUUCUUUGUGCUCACACUGCUAAUGAGCUACUUGAUAUGUUACAAGCUUAUAAACCGGAGCCAGACCCCUGGACCUUUGUGUUGGAGCGACCAAAUAAUGAUGGUAACAGUAGCCGCAGUAAGAAGUACAAAUUAGAUUUAACUCUCCGCCUGUAAAUAUUUUCUUCUGUGUUGCACCACCCAGGUGAUGUCUUCUAAACUCUACUUCUUUCCUUUAAAACAUUGAGGACAAUGUUUCGUUCUGGUUGGGGGGAGGGAAUAGUCAACAAUUGUGGAAUCUUGGUUAAGUUUUUACUGAUUUUUUGUUGUAGAAACUAACUGUUGCUAACGUUUUGUGUUGAAGAUGGCUGAAUAUGGAGUGUAGUUACUCUAGAAACGCAUCUUCAUCGUUUAAAAAGAAACGCAUCUUCAUCGUUUAAAAAAAAAAAAAAAAAAAAAAAAAAAAAAAAAAAAAAAAAACUCGUUUUCUUCCUCUUUCUCCUUUAUAAAUAUGUAGUUUCUCCUUUAUAAAUAUGUAGUUUCAAAUUUUUGAGUCGAAGAUGGCUGAAUAUGGAGUGUAGUGCCUCUAGAAACGCAUCUUCUUAGUUAAAAAAAAAAAAAAAAAUUCUUUUUCUAAUUAAUUUUUCUACAUCAUUUUCACAUUUCUGCAUGCAUAUUUUCCUUUCAUAUUUAGAAUAGGUUGGGGGGUAGAAUGUUGUUUAAAAAAAAAAAAAAAUUGUGUUAUUUGUUUUAAUAUUGGAUGACAUGAUUAAUUUCAAAUUUUAGUAUUUGUAUUAUCUUUGGUCUCAAGUGAUGUUACGCUAUGUUUGCUACUUUACAUGUUGAUGUCGGAGACAAAUAUGAGUUGCUUGAAGGAAUGAACAUGUCAUAAAUAAGUGCCAAGUGAGUUGUUGAGCCUAUCAUUUUCUUGGAGAGUAACCCUUUUGCCCAUUCUCUAUACAGCUUAGCAGUUUAUUAUUUUAUACACGAUCUCUAGAUUUCUUUUAAGUUAACCCUUUAAAAAAAAAUAUGGUAAAAUUAAAAAAAAAAAAAAAAGAAAAAAAAAAGAAAAAUAUGUGUGUUGCUACAUUGGGAGGCCCAUCUAACUAGUAGAUAUGGAUAAUUAUUUAGAGCCCUAAAAGACGAUGGAAAGGCCAUCUUUGAUCCGUUUGAGCCUUUCUAGCCAUCCCUUUUAUUAAAUAUCCAUAGUUACCCCUUUUGAGCCUUUAAAAAAAAAAAAAAAAAAAAAAAAAAAAAAAAAAAAAAGAACGAAAACCUUUUCUUUGUCAACUUAUCAUCUUGACCCACUCCGAUUUGGAGUAUUACCCAAUGUCUUUUAAGUUCCAUCACCUAUUUAUGUUUGAGAAAAUGUAAAUAAUUAUGUUGUUCAGUGAAGUUAUGCCAAAUAAAAGCAAAAAGAAAAAAAAAACAAAAACAAAAGUUGUUGUUUCAAAAGAAUAAAAAUAACAAUAAUAGGUGAAAUCCACCUUGCAAGUUCCAAAACAAAAAAAAAAAAAAAAAAAUUCUGCAUUUUUCUCAAACAUACACUUUGUUUUCCUUAUUUCCUUUCUUUGUUAGCCAUAUCCCUAGCCUACGUUACGUCCUAAUAAAAGUCCUUCUUGAUUUUCGGGAACUAUAGUUUGAAGUAGAAGCUAGUUAUAUGGGCUAAAAAGAUGUAGUGAUGCAUAAUAUAAAAAACAAAAAAACAAAAAAAAAAUAAAUAAAGUGGGUUGACUAACAUUUUUUUUAUUUGACUUGAGAUUGUAUUAUUUCUAAGCUGAGGGCAUAUUUAUUUCAUCUUGGUGAGAGCAUGUGAUAUCACUUUUUCAUUAUUUUCUCUCAAUUACCAUUCAUUGGAGUGACUAUUUUUUGGGUUUAAUUUCUUUGUGAGAGUGUCACUACUUCCAGUGAGAUUUUGGGGUUUGACAUGUCAUUCUUGAAAGUAGCUAUAACAAAGUCUACUGGGCCGAUUCAUGUGGAUGGUUGAUGUGGGUGUGAUAUUGCUUUAGACUGGAGAUAAUGCUUAUACUUUUAUUUGAUUGCUAUCAUUAAUCUGAUUGAAUAAACACGAGUGUUUCUAAAAAAAUAAAUAAAUAAAUAAAUAAAUCAUUUUGAAUUUGAAUUUUGUUUUCGCUUUAUUUGCUAGGGACUAGCAAUAAGCUGGUUGGGGGGUGUGUUGAGUGUUAGAAAAUGCAUAUUUAUAAAGGAGAAAACCGUCAUUUUACAUUUCAAGUCUUACUAACAACCCUUACUUUUAUGUAUUUAACCUUCUUGUGAUGUAAUUAUGUGUGUGUUAUUUUAAUUAAGUAUUUUAUGUAUUUUAGGGGCAUUAUAGUCAUUUCACAAUAAAGGAGAGAUCAGAUGGCAAAACGGACAUCACUUUUGAACUCAGGACGGUCGAAAACCUUAGGAGGGGCAUAAAAGGAAAAAUGGCACUAUUCACAUGUACGGUACUAUUCACGUAUACGGUACUGUAUAUGUUACUGUUCACGACACUGUUCACAUAGACGGAUCGAUGACGUGGCAUUGACCAAUGAUGUGGCAUUGACUGAUGAGGUGUCACGAUCCUGUUGGACUAAAAUUCUUAUGUACUGUUGAUGGUGACGUGGCAGCAUAUCAGUGGACGAAAAAUCUCGCGUACGGUGCAUGCAUCACACAGGAUUAUUUUCAACCAAACCGCGUUACUGUUCAUCCGGGUCAAACCGCGUUACUGUUCAAAGUCGGGUCAAACCGUGUUACUGUUCAUCCGCGUGGUCAAACCGUGGACUGUUGACUGAUGACGUGGCGCAAUCCUGAGCGUCCAAACUGUUUUUAAUCCGAUGGCCAUGAUUUACUCCAUGUAUCUAUAAAAAGGGGGCCUCCCCCCCCUAAUUUGAUAUCUCUGAAUCCAUUUUUGGGAUCCAUUUUCUGUAAUUCCUUCUCCAUCUUGUAUUUUCUUUGUAUUUUAAUAAAUUCCCAUUUUGCCCUUAGUUCAAUUAUGAGUGGCUAAUUUUCUUUCAAGCUUGGGUUGAAGGUGAAGUCUCAACAUGUGUCAUGGGCUUUAUUUGGUAAAUUUAUUUUCUUUUCCCCUCUAGUUUUUGUGGAUGAUUUGACUUAUCGUCGACAAAUAAUACUGAUCUUGUCUAGAUACCGCCUUGGUUACACCGGCUCUCUAGUAUAAGGUUAUUAUUAUUUGGCACGAUAAGCCCUUAGCACCAUAUUGAUUAGAGCGUGGUUCAUGAGGUGUGGAUUCCCCCCUCAUGAUUUAAUUGGCAUUAAUACGGAUUAUUUAGCCCAUGAUGCAUGUUGAUACGGAUCCAGAUACCCAAGUACGUUAUUUCAAUAGAUUACUCUUCAAUUUACUCUCGCUAUUGCAAUUCCAAUUUUAGAAUUUAUUAUCGCCGUUUCAAUUCCAAUUUUAGGAUAAUUUAAAUCACUUCCACCACAAUUCCAACCACCCAUUUACAAAAUUAAUUCUAUACACAAUUAAAAUCCACCUCCUCGUGGGAUCGACACUCGUCACCAUUGAUCUACACUACAAUAGAUUCGUGCGCUUGCGAGUUCAUUAAAAUUUGCACAACAGUGUGCUUCGGGUUUCUUGGAUCACAAAGAGAGUGGGAAUCCUAUUGAAGAUCUAGGUCGAAAGUUCUUUCAAGAGCUACGUUCAAGAUCUUUUUUCCAGCAAUCAAGCAACAAUGAAUCACGAUUUGUGAUGCAUGACCUUGUCAACGACCUUGCUCAAUGGGCUGCGGGGGAGAUAUACUUCACAAUGGAGUACACCUCAGAGGUUAACAAGCAACAAAGUUUUUCCAAAAAUAUUCGUCACCUGUCAUACAUUCGCGGAUUUUGUGAUGGCGUUCAAAGGUUUGAGGACUUGCAUGAUAUCAACCAUUUGCGAACUUUUUUACCAGUACCAUUGUCAAAGAGUUCACGUGGACACUUGGCUCGUAGCAUUCUUCCUAAGUUGUUCAAACUCCAACGGUUGAGUGUCUUCUCUUUGCGUGGAUAUUACAUCUCCGAGCUGCCAGAUUCAUUUGAUGAUUUGAGGUAUUUAAGGUACUUUAACCUAUCUCUGACUGAGAUUAGAACUCUGCCUGAAUCAGUCAACAAGCUUUACAAUUUGCACACUCUUCUGCUGGAGGGCUGUCGGCGACUGAAGAAGUUGUGUGCAGACAUGGGAAACCUCAUCAAAUUGCAUCAUCUCGAUAAUUUAGAUACAGGUUCGUUGGAGGAGAUGCCACUAGGAAUUGGUAAGUUGACUUGCCUUCAGACGCUGUGUAAUUUUGUUGUGGGAAAAGACAGUGGUUCCGGGAUACGAGAGCUAAAAUUGUUGACGCAUCUUCGUGGGACACUUAACAUUUCAAAAUUGGAGAACGUAAAAGACAUUGGUGAUGCGAAGGAGGCUCAAUUGGAUGGAAAGAAGAAUCUUAAAGUGUUAAAGUUUCAAUGGACACAGAGUACCAAUGGUUUGUCUUCAAGGGAGGCAGAAACUGAAAAGGAUGUGCUCGUCAUGCUAAAACCUCAUGAAAAUCUGGAACAAUUUUGUAUCAGUGGCUAUGAAGGUAAAGAAUUUCCAACUUGGUUGGGAGAUUCCUCAUUCUCAAAUUUAGCGACCUUAAAAUUUGAAGAUUGCGGCGUGUGUACUACCCUGCCAUCAGUCGGGCAACUACCCUCUCUAAAGCAUCUUGAAGUGCGUGGAAUGAGUAGAGUAAAGAGUUUGGGUUCAGAGUUCUAUGGGAAUGAUUCUCCGAUUCCUUUUCCAUGCUUGGAAACUCUUUCUUUUGAAGACAUGCAAGAAUGGGAAGACUGGAUUCCUCUUAGAUCUGGUCAGGGAGUUGAAGGGUUUCCUAAAUUGAGAGAGCUUUAUAUUAUAAGGUGUUCUAAGCUGCAAGGAACAUUUCCAGAACACCUUCCUACAUUGGAGAUGCUUGUAAUUAAAGGAUGUGAAGAAUUGUCAGUUUCAGUUACGAGUCUUCCAGCUCUUUGCAAAUUUGAAAUUGGUGGAUGUAAAAAGAUUGUGUGGAGAAGUGCAACUGAUCAUCUCGGCUCACAGAAUUCAGUGGUUUGUAGAGAUACAUCAAAUCAAGCGUUUCUCGCAGGGCCAUUGAAGCCGCGAAUACCAAAACUGGAAGAAUUGGAGAUAAAAAAUAUUAAAAAUGAAACAUAUAUAUGGAAGAGUCAUAACGAAUUACUGCAAGACAUUUGCUCUCUCAAAAGACUGCUGAUUACAAGUUGUCCCAAACUUCAAUCCUUGGUCGCGGAGGAAGAGAAAGACCAACAACAGCAGCUCUGCGAGUUGUCAUGCAGACUUGAAUAUCUAGAAUUGAGUGAUUGCGAAAGCCUUGUGAAGCUGCCACAAUCAUCAUUCAGCCUCAGUUCCUUGAGAGAGAUAGCAAUCUACAAGUGUAGUUCCCUUGUUUCCUUUCCUGAGGUUGCUCUGCCUUCCAAGUUGAACAAAGUUAAGAUUAGAGAAUGUGACGCACUGAAAUCGUUACCAGAGGCAUGGAGGUGCGACACCAAUUCGUCUCUCGAGAUCUUGAAUAUUGAGGAUUGCCAUUCGUUGACAUAUUGCUGCGGUCCAGCUACCACCGAGCCUUAAGCAGUUGGAGAUUUACAAUUGCUAUAAUAUAAGGACUUUGACAGCGGAAGAGGGUAUCCAAUGUAGCAGCAACAGCAGCAGAAGGUACACCUCAUCUCUUCUUGAGGAAUUGCAUAUUAGCAGCAGUCGAUCUCUGACAUGUAUAUUUUCAAAAAACGAGUUACCUGCCACGCUUGAGUCCCUUCAAGUUGGCAAUCUACCUCCGUCUCUUAAGUCCCUUCGUGUUUGGGGAUGUUCAAAGCUGGAGUCAAUAGCAGAAAGGUUGGACAACAACACAUCUCUUGAAACAAUCAGUAUAGAUAGUUGUGGAAAUCUGGUGUCCUUUCCCGAAGGGGGAUUGCCUUGUGCGAAACUCAGGAGGCUGGCGAUAUCUAAUUGUAAGAGACUAGAGGCCUUACCCAAGGGAUUGCACAAUUUGAGCUCUCUUCAAGAAUUAACAAUAGGAAUAGGAGGUGCGCUUCCAAGCCUUGAAGAAGAAGAUGGCCUUCCCACCAACCUUCAGUCACUUGAUAUUUGGGGUAAUAUGGAGAUUUGGAAGUCAAUGAUUGAGCGGGGACGGGGAUUUCACAGAUUCUCCUCUCUGCGAUAUCUUUUAAUCAGUGGAUGUGAUGAGGACAUGGUGUCAUUUCCACUAGAGGACAAAAGAUUAGGGACCGCGCUUCCUCUUCCUGCCUCUCUAACGUCUCUGGAGAUUUUCAAUUUUCCAAAUCUGGAACGCCUAUCUUCUUCAAUUGUUGAUCUUCAAAACCUCACUGAAUUGCGACUCCAUAAUUGUCCCAAGCUCAAAUACUUUCCGGAGAAGGGCCUGCCUUCUUCACUGUUGCAAUUACAGAUCGUGGGAUGUCCGUUGAUAGCAGAGAAGUGCAGAAAGGAUGGAGGACAAUAUUGGGACUUGUUAACUCAUAUACCUCACGUUGUAAUAGAUUGGAAAUCCAUUUUUGGCGAUAACACAUAGGACGGCUGAAAUAUUUUGGGAAAUUUACGAAAAUAACCAUUAAUAUUUUAUUAUUUUCACAAUUAACCCUCUCAAUUUUUUUCUAUCAACAUUAGCCAAACACAAGCUUUUCUCCCCAAAUUACCCUUCUUUACAUAACAAAACCAACAUUAUUUCUCCCAUAUCGUCAAACCAAAAGCAGCUCUUCACUCUUGAAUCAUCAGCCAACGGCGACGGCAAAAGAUAACGGUAAAAGUGAUAUCCGAUCAUAAUCUAUCCAGAUCCAACACAAAUCGACAUCACGUAGUGGUAUGAGUUGUUUUCUAAACUUGCUGAACUGAGUCGGGGUGAAUCUGAAUCUGGCGACAGGCUGCCUGUCGCAGUAAAACUGUCUGUCGCACCAACCCUUGUAUAUUCAUUAAAACUGUAUUAUUUUGAUAGGGCUCAAAUAUUUUUUUUUUUAUAAUUUCAGGCUUAAUGGAUUCAGUUGUAUUUGAAUUGUGUUACGAUGGUUGGUGAGAGACAUUAGAGGAUGGCCGUAUGGAGUAUGUGAAUGGUAAAAAUCGAGUUUUUUUUGUUGGAAAAAAUUGUCUGUUUGAUCAGUUAUUGGCAAGAGUAUACGAGGUGUUACAAAUAAACCCUAAUGACUAUAGUAUCACAAUGAAGACAACUUUGAGGUCUAGUAACACAUUAUAUCGUAUAUGUGCAAUACCCAUGGAUAUAUGUGAUGAUGAAAUGGUGAGGGUUGUGUUGCAUAUGGCAUCCGAUGUAGCCAAUUUUGGAUGCAUUCCUAUAUUCGUGACCACAUCACCUCGAGUUCUGAGCGAAGGUAUUGAGCCACAUGUCGAUACAGAAACUUUGUUUAGAGCAAAUAUGUCUGGCCCCGAUAAUGAUGAAGAGGUGUUGCCAAGGACAAUAUCGCUGCAGCAAUAUUACUCUCCAAUCCACGACAAUUAUGACAACAUUGAUGAUAAUGGCGUUACGUUACAGGAUGUUGGAGCAACGGUAUUUCCAAUAACGACGUCGUUGGAACAACGGUAUUCUCCGUAUCACAACAAUGAUUUUUGGGACAAUGAUGAUUUUCAUAAUGAGACAGAGGGGGAUAAUAUUUUUGCAGAACCUUCUAAUAAUACGAGGGGGGGCACUCGUUUCAAUAAUGAUGGUGAUGAUGGAGGAGCCGGUCCUUCGAAUGUUCCGUCGUUUCAGCAUGAGGAUGAGUGUGAAGACAAUACUCCUGUGAAUAACAGAGGCAAUAGACUUAUUCCUUCUAUGGUUCGAUCGAGAAGGAGAAUUGACCCCCUUACAAGUCUUGCUCCAACUUUGCCUUCGAACAUGGUUGCUCCAAGCUUUGUUAGCAGUUGUGACUCAGAUGAUAUCAGUGUGGGUAAGCUAUUUGCUGAGAAGAAUGAGUUUAUAUUACAACUACGCAAGGUGGCCUUUAGAGAUAAGUUUGAUUUCAAGAUUGCACGGUCUACUACGACACGUUUCGAGGCUCACUGUUGUUCAGAAUCAUGUAAAUGGCGUAUUCAAGCAACUAGAUGUUCGAACGAGCAAAAUGUUCCUUGGGUGGUGAAGAGAAUUGAUAAUGUACACACUUGUCGUCGCGGAAUGUGAGUGAUGAGUCAUAAAUCCAGACUUUGUUUUUCCGAAAAUCAACUCGUGCUAGUACCCAAUGCGCGUCGUCCAAGUUAACAGGGAUGAGUAACUGUAUAUAACAAUUGAAAACAUGUUCGUUAUAUAUGAAAUUGAAAUACAACAAAGAAAAAGCGACAACUCGAAUAUUUUCAUUAUGGAGCAUGUGAAAUGCAAUAAAAUACAUACUAUAUCGACAUCCGUCAUUGAUUUGGACAUUGUGUGCUGUCGCCCACAAAGAUAACUAUUCAAGCGGUCGUUGAAUACCAAUGAAUCGACUGCACAAUCCCCGUUAUUCCAUAACUGAUUCAAGAACACCUAGUACAUAGAUAACCAAGAAAUGCAUAAAUUAACAAAACUUAAAGGCAACAAAAAAAAAUAAAUAGUAUUUAUAAGUUUUGUCGGCACGUUACCCAAAAAAAUGUGUCAAUAUGUGUGACACGUUGGAGUAAGGCAUUUGGAUACUGCCGUUGUUUCUCGCUAAUCAAGCGGAGAUACUCGUGAAUAUGCGGUAGAGAAACAGAAAUAUUACGAGUUAAAAGAAAAUUUUUGGUGAAACAAAUCCACAACAGUAUACAUAACUUCGAAAAUAUAAAUACCUCAUCGCCUAGCCAUCCCAUCGAAGCUGUACCCAAAAUUAUUUAAAAGAAUGACCGCAGGUGCUGGACUCUCCGGCGGACUCUGCUAUCACCAGUGAAUCAUCAAUCAAACUCAGCAAACAGACUAGAGUCCUCCAAUCCUCUCAGUGGAUUUACAUCCACACUUGUACUCAUGUCAACCGCAUGCUCUAUGAUUUGGGGUCGAGGUAAAGGCCAGACGUUCUGUCCUCGCCUGACCGGAGGAAUCAUGUAAGGACUGUUAUAAACAUACGAUGGUAUGUACGCGGCCGAACUUACUAACGCCCGGAGGCACCUCAGUGAACACCUGCACGCUCUCCCUAUUAACAUCCCCGUAGACACUAUACAAUGACGUGGGCGUAGACAAAUUUUCAUUGCCCACGUCAGUAUACAAUCCAUGGUCAUCUGGGGCCUGUCCAUUCGCCAAGAAGAACAUAUUAAACAACUAUCAAAUUAAAGUUAAACGAACAUAAUUAUUAAAUUUAAAGUUUCUCACCGCAUACGAGCGUGCAGUGGGAGAAUCCUUAUUUGGACGUUUAGAAAAUGUGUUGAUGAAGCCAACAACGGUUUCUUUAAAAUCUUUUAAUUCUGACUUUAUUUCAUACACGUUACGAUCAAUCUUAUCCAGCCGUCGUCGUAUGUAAUCAUUAAACUGCUUUGUCCUCGACUAUUACAAAAGAAAAAACAGAAAACUUUAGAAUAAUUAAAAAAAUUAAUAAUUUAUAAAGCAAAAAUAUCGUAUAUUAUUUAUAACCUCAGAAUCCCGUGCGUCAUUAGAGUUGUCUGUUUGCUGCUGGUGGUCAUCAACAGCCACCUCAUCCUCAGAAGUGUCAUGACGCUGCUCUGGUAUUGGGUUUGGUAUGUCGUCAUGAUCGUCAUGCUCGUCUAAUUGCCUUGUAACCGACGGCAUCGCGUUGAUUGAGGGUUGGUGAUGUAUAAAGUAUCAUUUAAAAUUAGUAAAUGAAAAGUCUAAAAUUUCGAUUAAAAAAUUUUUAGUACUUAGAGUAUACCAACCUUAUGAACCCAGUCUGGAAUGCUUGGCAAGUAAUCCUUCACAGAGAGCCAAUAUUUUCUGCUACUCUCCUUUGAAUUUGGCUCAAGAGUUUGUAAAACGUCCCCCUGGCAUAAAUUCAAUUGAAAAUUUUAAGUAUACAUAACUUCAAUUUAGUAAAGUUAAAAAAAUAAGUAAUACAUAUUACUUACAAGACGAGAUUCAUCGUUGAAGAACGAAUAAACCUCCGCAAAGUUGAUUCUCGAAGACGCCAUGGGCUUCCAUUGCAAAAUGCGGGGAAUAUUAUUCUUCGUUUUGACGACCCAUGUUGAUGGCAACCCUCCGAUUGCUUCGUAAAUCCAAGCCUACAACAACCAAAGUGAAAAAUCAAAUAAAACAACUAUCAAAUAUUUAAUACUAUAAAACUUAUUAAUAAACAAAAAAAAACGCACCUGAACCCCAGACGUAAAGCCGUAAAGAUUGUAUUUUUCAAUGUUAUGAUCUGGAUUUUUCAACCAAGUCUUCUUAAAUUUCUCGUCUUCUUAAAUUUCUCGUCUUUCUCGAACAGUGCAUUGUCAAGACUCUCGUAAAUCAUUUCCCACGACAAUAGACCCCAUGGACGCUUUCGGAAGUAUUGUAUAUCAUCAACUUGGUCAAGCCGAUCGAAAUUGAUUUGACAGUGAUUUUUUCUUGCAUUUAGUACUCUGUCCGCAAAAUAAAACAGCGUAAUCUUUAAUGCGUCCAUAUCAUCCAUUUCCUCGAAUUUCAACCCCUUAAAUAUUGCAUCGAAUUCGUUCACAUUAAUCUUACGAUGCAUACCACCAAAAUACGAAUUCCGUAGCCUCUGCUCCAUUUCAUCAUUUUUUUUAUUGGUAUCAACACCAAAUGAAAGUCCAGUAACCAAGCACCAUUCCACAAUUGACAAGCGAAUCAAAUGCUCACCAAUUUGAAACCAUAACUGAUCCUCACGGCUAUCUUCUUCAUGGGCCACUUGCCUCAGUAAAAGAUUGUGCAAAAUUACCCCACUAAAUGGAAAACUUCGACACUCCAAGAAAUGCCCAAAUAUAUCCUUUUUGAACAUACUCAACUGCCGCUUUGUUAAUUUUUCCUCGAUGGCUUUUACGACCGAAGCUAACUUACACAUGCUCGAAAUUCGACCAGGAAAGUGAUCGGCAUAACGAAAAUACAUCUUGCCUACUUCGAUAUCCGGUGAUUCUGAUUUCGCCAUGUAUUUGUAAUAUUUAUAAAAUUAUUACAUUACGUUUACAUAAACAAAAAAAAUUUGACUCGUUAAAAAAAAAAAAAACACUCUAAUUUUUUGUGCAACAGGCGCGCGCCUGUCGCACCAGAGACAGGGCCUGUUGCAUCAGCUUUGGUGCGACAGCGGGCGCGCAUGGGCGCGCGCACGCGCCCUGCCACCCUCCUUCCCCACCCCCAAAAUUAAGACACAACACUUCAAAAUCGAAAAACAAUACUCCCAAACACCACCAACCACCACAAACACCACCACCACCACCAUUAUUCUCAAGCUAUAACUAUUAUUAUUCUAAAAUCUCAUUUUAAAUUAAUGAAAAUAAGAAAAAUGACUAACCUAGGUUUUGUUGAAGGUUGUAGAUCGUAGAUCAGAUGCCGAUGAGAGAUGGAGCCGCCGCUGACGAGGGUUGAUGUCGCAGCCGAUGAUGGGAGUUGGAUCGGUUUGGGAGAGAUGAGUGGAAGGGAGUGUUGGGGGAGAGAUGAGGGAGGGGUAUUUUGGUCUCAAAAGUCGUUUUAUGGCUAAUGUUGAUAGAAAUAUUUUUGGGUGAUUAAGAUGAAAAAAAUCAAAACUUUAAUGGUUAUUACUGUAUAUUUCCCAAAUAUUUUAUUGUUAGCAUUAUUAAUAUUUUUUUAAAUCGGGUGUGUUUGUGUAUGUAAUUUUAAAAUUCAAAUCUCAAUUGAAAACUAUUUUAAAUUAAUAUGGUGUGGUGUCGGUGGGCUUUUUGUAUUGUAUAUAAUGGGUUUUCGAAUUUUUUUAUAAAAUUGUGGAAUGCUUUAAAAAGAAAUGGUAGAAUAACGUAACGGGUUUGCAUUAUUCAGCAGAGGAGGACUGUAUUAAUGUAUGAAUUAAUUAGCCGAGGAGGACUUUGGCAAAAAUUGUUUUGAAAUAGAUUGGAAAUUGGUUUUUGGUGAUAUUUUUGAUUUGUGAAAGGAUGGACGACUGAAAUAUUUUAUUAUUAGUAUUUUCUUUUUUUCAAAUUAGGCGUUGAAAUGGAUGGUCAAUUAGUUUUCGGUGACUGAACAGUGGACGACUGAAAUAUUUUAUAAUUACUACUUAAACACGUAAGGGCUAGACUGUAUUGCGAUGUUACUUAUACUCUUUAAAUUAAUCACUAUGGGCAAGUUCUUGAAUUAAUUGUUUAUGUGCCAUCGCUAUUAAUAUUUAUAAAUAUAAUUUAUCAGUUAUUGAAUAUUUGGCGCUCACACAUCACUGAAUUAAAUCGCAGCCCAACACAUUCAGAUUCAACUUAAAAAGCAUUCAGAUUUAAAUUCCAAAAAAAAAAGUCACAAAUUAAAAUCACAAAUCAAUCAUCAUACUCAAAUAAAGCUCAGAAAUUUAUUCAGUAAACAAUAAGAAAACGAAAAUUUAAACGAAAAAAAAUAAGAGUAAACACAGACAAACAUAGGACGAAAAACAGAUCGAAACUAAUUCACUUCAAUUUCACAUGAAUCUAAAUUAAUUGAUUAAUUUAGAACUCGAAUUAAAAAAAUCAAAUAAAAUUAAUUACAUUAACUGGAUCUUAAUUAAUUGAUUAAUUAAUCCUCAUCUACCGAUUUCAUUUAACAAAACUUUUGGCUGUCCCUUCAUCUGAACUGUUCCAGAAGAUUUGUUUGCAGUAGGCUGGUUGCCCAUUCUGCAUCAAAUUUGAACUCAUAAUUAGUGAAUCAAGAAAUUAUUUCAGAGACUAGCUAUGUUAACCGGCUGAUGACAACAGGUUUCACCAAGAUUUGACACCACAACCACACAUCGGUUCAUGAUAACCACCAGUCACUGCUCAAAUAGACAACUAUCAAUUCCGGAAAUUUUAAAUAUUUUGAAUGAUAAUGUUUCAAUUUCUUAAAGUUUAGGGGUGAGAUAAAACAAUUCCUCACAUCUUGCAUAUGUACAUUAUCAUGUUAUUAAUCUGAUUUAGACAGAUGUCAAAUUUUGAAUCCUUUUAUGCACUACAAACCAAAACUAGAAACAAUCUAAACAUUUUAUAGUCACAAAAUAAACCCAUACACGGUGUCUAAAAUGCUCACAAUCAUCACAUCAUGGGAUUUCUCAAACCCUGUAGGGCUUUUCUACCAGAGUAAUUUGUUCCAACAGAAAACAUUAGGUAAAAAGUUAUUCAUUGCAGAAAUUUCAUCACAAUGCACAUAACCAGCAACAAUGGUGAUUGUUGAAUAAGAACAGUCGGCAAGAAGGAAAGAGUUAAGUGAUUUUACUUUUUCUUAAUCUCGCCGGCCAUGGUCAAGAAAGCCUGCUCCACAUUGAUUGCAUCUUUGGCACUCGUCUCCAGGAAAGGAAUCCCCAGUUCAUCUGCAAAUGCCUGCAUUUCACUCGGAGACCAACAGAAAGUCAGAAAAAUCAAUGUAGUACGUUAUUUGGAUACAAUGAUAUGCCACCCAUAAUUUCUGCAUCUGCUGCUUGAUGCCAAUAGAUCAGCCGAUGUACUGUCUUAAUCAAUAACAAGUCAACACAAAGUCCAUAACUCCGUCUGUUGCUAAAAACCAACCCAACAACUUUCUCUCAGUCAUACAUAAAAGCAUUUCCAAAGUCUUGAAAGAUAUUUUAUAGAAUAAGUACCUUGGAAACUUUAAAUCACAUGAAGAAGCAGAAAAAGAUGCUUUCUCCUUAACAUCGUGAAGCACUUUGAUGUGCAGAUCUUGUAGCUUAAUGCUCAACAUAUCACAUUAGUCUAAGUCAUGAGUUGAAAACAAGAUUCUUAUAAAAUCUUAUUGCAUGCAAAUUAUGCAGUUAAAAUUUACCAAUUUAUAUAGAUAACUAAUUAAUAGAAAUUAUUCAUUGACAAACAAUAGAUAUCUUAUGAAGUGAUAUUCCCUAAAGAAUCAGACUGCCAAAUCCCUUUAGAUAACCUUGGAAAGAGACCAGGAAAACGAUACAGAUCUCACCCUAACCAACCAUUUGAGUGAAGCACUAUGGGUGGCAAGUUUCAAACUGAAUUACAGAGGUUAGCAGCCAGUAGCUCAACCAAAACACAAGUACGAGUGACCGUGUAUUAUCUUGCAAGUGUGUGCAUGGGAAGGCAUGCAAACAGGUAAGUGAAAGACAGGUAAGUCCGUAAGUGGGGGGAGAGAGAGAGAGAGGUCUAACUCUAAAGCACAAACCUCAUAUGAACUUCAAUAGAUCCAUUAGACUAUUUUUUAAUUGGGGUUGUCCAUAUGGAUAAGAUUCGACAUGGAAUGAGAAUACACCAAAACGGACAUUCAAGGCUCAAAACGAAUUAGAAAAUACAUUAGAGGAAAGUAAAUGAUUCUCUUUGGGCAUGUUUUGACUUUCUUUUCCCAAAAAAGGGGUAAUAUUAGUCACCAUUUAAGGAAAAAAUUGCUUUAAUAAAAAUUUUAUUUUCAUUAUUCAUUGAUAAUCACUUAGAGCAAUUUGGCACGGCCCUUGGAAAAAAGGAAAAGGUAUUUAAGGAUCCCCCUACUCAAUUUUAUUGGAAACACACUCAACACUGAAGGAUAUGAUACAAGAGACAUUUACAUGAAGAGUCAAACUUGUGUUCUAGUAAGUCCAAUUCUCACUGAGCAUGCACAUGAUAAAAGAUUAACAAAGAAAUACAAUUUAUUAAACAAUCAGUUGGAUUAAAUUGACUACUUUAAGAAUUUAUUAAACAAAGAAAUAUUACGAACAUUUAUUUUAGGGGAUAUUAUCAAUUGACUACUUUAAGAAUUACAAUAUAUCAAACAACUACAAGAAGUAUUUUAGUCUAUCAUUUUACUACUAUAUCUUUACAAAACUUAUCAUUUUACUACAUUUCCGUUAGUACAAAAAAAUACCAAUUUCACCCUUGGAAAAAAUUACACAAAUAGAGGUAUCAAAUAUUAUAUUCAUAGGCUAAUAGGAAUUAUUUGUAGCUACUUUCUAUUUUGAAUUUAUAAUAUUGUAAUACUUUGUGUGUUAUUUUUUAACCAAAAAAGAAUUAAUGUAAAGUGCAAAAUUGAUAUUUUAUCAGUUAACCAACAGGUCAACUAUCGGUGCUAAUGAAAUGUAGUAAAAUAAUGGGUUUUGUCUAGAUAUAAUAGUAAAAUGAUGGAAUCAUAUUUUUUAUGGACUUUAGAUUUAUUGCAAUUCUUGAAUGAUUCAAACGAUAAUAACCCUUAUUUUAACAAGUCGUAUUGACAGAAAAGAUUCCAACUCGAGAUACAGACUGUCCAAAGUUUGAGUGUCCUGGGUAUGCAGAAACUUACCAAGCAAAUGCACUUGAGAAGAGUUUAAAAUUAUAUUCAAAGUUCAGGCGACAGAAGUCACGAACAUACCUUGGCUGUCUGUGUGUCCACAACCUUGUUCUCAACAAAAUCGCAUUUGUUCCCAACUAGAAGCUUGCAUACACUGUCAUUUGCGUAUCUGUCAAUCUCAUUCAACCACUGCUUGACAUUAUUGAAGCUCUCCAUCCCAGUUACAUCAUAGACAAUCUGUUGAAAUCCCAACACAUUUAAUUAAUCUCAUACAGUUGCUCAAUUAAAAAAUUGGAAAAACAAAAUUACCACUUAUUCUUUCUUAAAAGAGAAUACAGCAUUGCAAGACUUUUACUUCCGACAACAUCAUAUGUCAUAAGAAUUUAUUAGACAAUUUGCAUCAUAUUAUGGCUCCCAUUCUUGGACUACAUCAUCUUGUAUACAGAUUUAUUGGAAAAUGUACUGCUUAAUGAAAGAUGAAAAAUAAGUUAAUAAACACAUACAAUGCUGUUAAGAUGUCACAUGUAAAUCACAAACUUUCUUAUUUAAACCAAGAACCGUGAAGGCUCCAUACUAUGAUUCCAUGGGCUCCUCGGUAAUAACUGCUAGUUAUAGUCCUGAAUCGCUCCUGUCCAGCAGUGUCCCACUAAACAGAUGAAAAACAAUCAAACAUAAGACAUUACCUAAAUGAUGUUUAUAAGACAAAUACACUCAUUUCAACAUAUCACUCUUCAAACAAAGAAAAUAAGACAAGGUUCUUGAACAUAACCUUCACUAAAUAAGACAAAUCGAAUUUCUCUCAAUAAAAGAUAAAAGGAAAUUUUGACUCACAAUCUGCAGUUUGAUCGUCUUCCCAUCCAGCUCCACAGUUCUUAUUUUCUCCCAAAAAAAAAAAAAAAAGAGUAAAAUGCUGAAGUCUGCCAACAUUUCUUUCCACAUAUGCAUACACAUACAUACAUACACGUACAUAGACUCAUAUUAUAACUUAUACACAUAUAUACAUAUAUAUAGAAGAGAGACUCACAAAAUCAACUCCAAUGGUAUUGAUGUAGCUGUGACAUAAGAAUCAUCCUGAAAAAUUGAAAAAAAAAAAUUACAUUAAUAAACCUAAAAACUAACAAUUAACGUAAUGAAAACCGAAAUUUACAAGAAUAACAAUUAUUUAUCAUCUAAAUUAUCAUUUUAAUAACACAAAUUCAAAGAACAAAAAGCUAAAAUAGAAAGUAAUUAAUAUAAAAAAAGAAAAUAAGAAGGGAAAGGAAAAGUCAACAGACAGCAAAUCGGAGCAGCAGGCAGGACUUUCCGACGGACGAGUCUCCGAUAAGCAACAGCUUGAACAGAUAAUUGCUUCAACAAAAAAAAUGAAAAGACAAAAAAAAAAAAAUUUUUGAAGUAUUGUCAAAUUAAAAUGAGUAUAUGUUAACAAUGUUAAUAUCAAAAAAAGGAAGGAAACAGGGAGGCUCACUAUUCGUUGCUCAUGAUUUUGGAUGGAAGUGAAGAAUCUUGCGAUGGUCCUUUUGCUCUGUUUGGAGAGCGAGAAAGAGAAAAGAAAAUGAAAGGGAAAGUUUGUUUGUGCUGUGUCGUGCGGGAGAAUUUCCUAUCUCACCUCCGGAACUUAGCUUUGUCCACUUAUGAAGACACUCAUGCCCAAUAAUUAUAUUAUCAGUUAUGAGCCUAUUUGGCAUAAAAGCACUCUGAGUUGGCGAAAUAACAUGAUCUAAUAUUAGCUUCAGCCUAUUCGCUAUAGUCUUUGCAAUGAUCCUAUAAAUUACAUUACAUAUGCUGAUUGGUCUAUACUCCAUCAGAGUCCUAGGUUUUGCUAUCUUGGGGAUUAAAGCAAUGUAUGUAUGAUUCAAAGGAGCAAUAUUACCUCCAUCAUUGAGGAUAUGCAGACAAGUGGCUAUAACUCCUUCGCUUACUGAAUUCCAAAGCUUUUGGAAAAAUACUGCUGGGAGACCAUCUGGGCUAGGGGCUUUGGUUGGAUGCAUCUGACUCAAAGUUUCUGUGAUAUCAGCUUCUGUGAAAGGCUGGUCCAAUUGAGAAUUCAUUUCUUAUAAAUGAGUUUAAACAUUUUAAUUUGACCUGAUCUUACAGCAAUUCAAUCCAUUUUACAUGAGGAAGCACAGAGUGACUUGAAGUAUUGUGAGCUAGACAUCAAUAAUUUUGUUCCUUCAAUCCAAAACUCAAAAAAUUUUUGUAGCCUGUGCCCCAUCUUUUCCAAACCUAAGACAUCUUUAAGUUUCACAAGCUAAUGAGUUGGCCUCACCUAACCUUGGCUGGCCCAUGACCACUGAUUCAGUGCAAGCAGCAGCAACUUUAGACCAUCAGCACUUGUAGGACUAGUGUAAGUAAUUAAAAUAUGAUGUUAUUUUUUACUAUCUCUUGUAACUUAAAUAACUACGGGAUAGUAACAUAAUGGCUAAAGAUCUUAAUGUUUCAAAACCUUAGUUGCACCAUUACAACUCAAUAAUUAACUUUUUAUUUUUCCUACCUGAUUUAACAUAUAUAUUUGUUUUCCAGAGAAGUAUUAAAAUAAGGUGACUUGAUAAACUCAAAUAUCAUGGGUAGAAUGUAACUCUAGGGCUUUUAACUCAAGUGGGUUGAGUCAUGCUGGAGGUCAACCAAAACCGAAAAUGUGGAAUGAAGAAUACUCAGCUCCAAACACACAGCUGACAUAUGCUUCAGCAGACUCUCGCACUAACUUAAUGUGUGCAUAGCUUUUUAACAUAAAUUCACUAGAAUAGGGGCUAGGUUUUAUUAGUUCAACAUUAGUAACGCGAAAUGCUAAGUAAAUAUUUUCCAACUUCCUUUCAUUUUACUGUACAGCACUCGGUCUCAUCACGGUGAGUCUAAACAGAUCACUUCAGGAAUAGCUAAAGCUAUAAUACUUUCAACCCACCCCAAGUCACAGCCUUGAUUCAAGACAUGAAACCCCAAGCUUAAACAGAUUGGUUUCAACUUGCAUCACUAACUUCAACAUGUGGAGAACAGUCUUCCAAUGACAAAAUCUGCCGGCCCAUAAUUUUCACUUGCGAAUUAACUGCAUCUUAAAUACAUAACUUUAAAUCCCAAACUUUCACCCCAAUAUAUAGCUAUCACAAUUUGGCGCUCACAGAUGACUUAAUUAAAUCGCAGCCCAACACAUUCAGAUUCAACUUAAAAAGCAUUCAAAUUUAAAUUCCAAAAAAAAAGUCACAAAAUUAAAAUCACAAAUCAAUCAGCAUACACAAAUAAAGCUCAGAAAUUUAUUCAGUAAACACUUCAAAAACGAAAAUUUAAACCCAAAAAAAAGUAAUAGUAAGUACAAAUAAACAUAGGACGAAAAAGAGAUCGAAAGUAAAUCACUUCAACUUCACAUGAAUCUAAGUUAGCCUAAUCUAGAACUUUAUUUGAAAGAUUAAAUAAAAUUAAUUACAUUAACUGGAUCUUAAUUAACUAAUAAAAAUGAAGAGAAGUGAAAGAGGAAAAGUUAGUUACUUGAAGAGUGCGGGUGGCGAAUUCGACGCCAAUAGCGGAUUUGGACUCCAAACAGAACUCGUUACGAGUAAAUCGGGAGAGUAAGUUCGAUUUGCCGACUCCCGAAUCGCCAAUUAAUACCACUUUGAACAAGUAAUCGUAUUCCUCGUCCGCUCUUCUCGCCAUUUAAAUUUAGAUAUGGGUAAUUUUUAAAAACCUCCCUUGAGGUUUGGGCUUGUUUCAAGUAGAUGGCGAGAAUUUAUUUAUUUGUAAAAAAUUCCUUACCGUCAGUUAAUUUUAACAUUGACCGUUAGUUGACUGUGUAAAGAUAAUAUUAUCCUUAACAAUAGUUUGUAGACGGAAAUAACUAAAAAAAAAUUAAAAUUAUUGGCUAUUUUACCCUCUUUAAAUUAUUGAUAUUUUCUUAAAGUUCCUACAAGAAAGAUAAAAUUAAAAUUUUGAAAAAUCAUCUUUAAAUUAUUGAUAUUUUCUUAAAAUUUCUACAAAAAAGAUAAAAUUAAAAACUUGAAAAUGAAAUAGUUAUAAUCUUUACCUAUGAUAUUGUAAAUCUUUGGAAUUGACAAGGAUAAAAUUGUCAAAAAAUAGGGUUUGUGCUUUUCGUGCCAACAAUUUUAAUUUUUUUUUAGUUAUUUCCAUCUACAAACUAUUGUUAAGGGUAAUAUUAUCUUUGCACAGUCAACUAACGGUCAAUGUUAAAGUUAACUGACGGUAGGGGGUUUUUUACAAAUAAACAAAUUCUCACCAUCUACUUGCAACAAGCUCAAAACUCAGGGGAGGUUUUUAAAAAUUACCCAUUUAGAUAUUUAUCUUUAUAUAAUAAAUGAAAAAUGAGAGACGACCGAUUCUUCAGUUGAAGAAAUGAAGCUGAAUUUAAAGCGCAGAGUCGGAAACAAAUGUGCUUCUUUAGUUUAUACGUAGAUACAUUCACUCCGGUAAAAUGAUGAAAAGAGUCAUUUUCAAUAAAACUCGUGCCCUUCUUUUGAUUUUAUUUUAACAGUUUCCUCUUCAUUUAUAUUUUAUAUUUAUCUUUAUAUAAAAAUAAAAAUAAAAUAAAACGAAAUUCAACCAAUUUUUCAGUUGAAGAAAUAAGAUGAAUUGAAAUCGUAGAAUCGGAGAAUGUGAUUUUGAUUUCUCAGUUUAUUCUAAAGUGAGUUUGAUCAGCUGAUUUCAAGCACAGAAAUUGUUGACUUAAAUUACUAUAGUAUCCUUGAACUUUUAGGUGGUCUUUAAUUAAUAUAUGGGCAUAAUUGAAAAGGAAUGUCUCCCACAUUAAUUGUUCAAUAUUAAUAAAUUAUCAAUGAAAUAACAAAUUUAAAUGAAGUUUCGUGAUUCUUGAAUAAACGAAAAAUACAAAAACUGUCUUAUUAAUUGAGAUACAUUAUUAUUCUUUGUGUUUUCUUUUCACUAAUCAGUAAAGUAGUUCUCAAGUAAAUUUAUUGAGAUCUAAUUUUUUAACCUUUUUUUUUAGUUUUUCGUUCUCUCAAAUCUCAAUGGUUCAUAUUUUUUACAACUUACUUCUGUUUAAAUGUUGGUUGAGAUAUAACUAUAUAAAGGAAAUUAAAUAUUAUUCACGUUGGCAAUGCUCGAAACUAUGUAUUGACAAUACCACUCUAAGAGUUUUCAUCAUCUAAACAAAUUACCAUCAUAAAAAAGAAAGCACUUUUUUAUUUUCUUUUAAUUUUUAAUUGUCUUUCGAAUUUGUUAUUAUGUAUUACGUCAAUUAAUCCCCAACCCUAAAUUAAGUGUGAGUGAGAUUUAAACUUUAGAUCGCUUCAGUCAUUUCAAAAUGUCAUACCAUUUAAAUUGACUAAUUAACACAUUUAUUUUCAUUUAAAAAAAGACAUAUCCUGGUGUCUUUUCUCAUUCACUUUAUUAAUACUUGUUGCAAAUUAAUGGGAAAUUAUUUAUUUUUAAUUUUUCUUCACUCAUGCUCGGCUUUAACCAAACAGACGAUGUUCUACAAACUUUUAUCCAAUAAGGCAAUGCAAACAAAAGCAAGUGAAUCCACCCCCCCCCCCCCCCCCCCCCAACCAAAAAAAAAGCACGUGAAAGGUGUAGAUAGAUUCCCACAUCGGAAAAGGAAUUUCGUGAGCUUGUUUUUUUAUUUAAUUUUAUUUUCUACAAAAUAUGUCAGCCUAUGUUGAUGAAUGUGAAAAUUGGUUAAAAAAAUAUUAUAGUAAUAGCAAACGCUAAACGUUAUGAAUAUUCUGCUGGCAUGCAAGCGAAGGAAACGAAUAAUCCUAUGAGAAGGAAAUUUCUCACACGUGCGAGCGGCCGAAACGCGUUUGGAGCUGUUGGAUUUCCAUGAAGGGCAUUAGGGGUGAGCGGGAGGAGGAAGAAGAAAAGAAAACGAGGAGGCCGCGGUCGAAUAUUUUAGUUAGGGUCAGUUUUAAUUUUUGGGAUUUUUUUUCUUAAUUUGCUUACUUAACUCGAUUGGAUUGAUUAGUCUUUUGGGGUUAAAUUCAAACAGAAAUACAACCCAAUCAUUUUUAAGUUUUGAACUCAGUUGAAAGCUUCAACCAUAACCAAAUUGAAUCCAAAAUAAAUUUUUAGUUUGGUUCGGUUCGGGUUAAUCCGAUCUUAAUGUCCACCCUUGAUUGGGCAUCGAUAAUGCAUAUAUUUGCACAUGCUUCUUUGAAACUUACAAGUCACGCUCUCAUGAUUCUAAAUUUUUAAAUAUUUAUCUUGAUUUUGUGUCUUUAUAUUAUGAAUUUUAUAACCCAUACCUAUAUUUUCAAUAUUUGAACUUUUUUUUAAUAUUCCUAAUAACUCAUGUCUAUUAAUAGGAGGGGAUGUAAACUCCUAAUUACCCCUAUCCAUCAAUAGGAGGGAAAUUAAAGUUUUAACACCAAUACAAAACAAUACAAAUUUCUAGUGUGGAUUAAAAGUUCUAAAACCUCAAUAGUAAAUAAAGCCUUAGUGCGUAAAAAUCUAUCCUAAAUUUCUCUGGACAAGCCAAAAGUCCACUAUGUCAAAACAUUGUGUUCAUGUCUCCAAUAUGUAAUUUAUAAGGAUUCGAAGUUACAAUAAUAGAGAAAAAAUAAUAAUUUGAAAAAGAGAAAAUCUUUGGGAGAUAUGUGUCUCCCCCGUUAUUCAAACAACUUCUAGGCUUUUUAUAAGAGCCACAUGAUAUACAAUACUAACUACACUUAGGGUGGCAAAAUCAUCGCAAAUCCAAAGUCUUGGCCGCAACGGAUAAUUUUUGCGAGCUGCAAUCAGGUUUGAUAUUAUAAAUUUAAACCUAUUGAAAGUUGCAGGUCGAUUUUUAUAGAGAAAAAAUUUGGUAAAUAGUUGCGCAAGUGUCCGACAUUCUUAUUUGAAUGUUUGUAUUUUUAAUUUUAAUCAUUAAAUUUCAUUAAAAAAUUAUUCAUAAAAAGAUAUAAGGAUCUUUAACUUAAAGCAUGGAGUAUGAUAUGCUUAUUGUAAUUUUGUACUUUAUACUUUGUUUAGAAAAAUCGUGUUGGAUGGGUGCUAGUGGUAUUGAAUGAGACUGUAAAAUGGGUCAUGGCUGCUACUUUGAUUUGUAGUUCUUUGUUUUUUUUUUCUCUUUCUCUUUUUUUGUUUUCAAUUGAAAACACUUUGAGUUGCGAUAGACUUAUUUAUUUGGUAAUUAAAUUUAAAAAUUUGUGUUAAAUUGAUAUAUUUUGUGUAUUUAUUUUAAUGUUAAAACUGUCAUUUCUCAUUUACAUUGAUAAAAUCUAGAAUUAAGUAUUUUAUGUGAUUUUUUAGGCUACGAUUAUAAAUUUAUAAUUUGAAUUACGUAAUUUAAAUUUUUAAGUUUUGUUGCAAGUGUGAUUUUAUUAGUGGGAACUCACAAAAUAUCUACUAGGUACCAUUCAAACCCGCAGCUGAUGGGUGACGUGAACUUGGUCAAAACUAGACUCAUGUAUAGCAAGGAUUUCGUGAAUCUCUUCGCAAAAUUCAGCAUUUGAUUUGUUGCGUGUUUCCAUGGAUCAUUUGACGGCUCGAAUACCACUUGAUAUGUAAUUGUAAGGAUUUGAUGCUACGGCAGAAGGGGAAAGAAAAGGAUCACUUGCUAGCUGCAAGAAUUAGCUAACCAACAAUAUGUGGAGUUUUUUUUUUUUUUUAAAUAUCAAGAAGAGAGAGCACAAUUAACCUAACACGAAUACACUAACUUAGUAAAUACAUUGCACACAAUGAUAUUUUUUUUAUUAAUUUCUUUUUACAAGAAGACACGGUACACAAAAUUAAAUAAAGAAAAUCUCUUGUAUAUCUCAAGAGAUUUUAUAUAUACAAGAGAUUUUAUAAGUUGAACUAAACCAAACAAAGACACUCCUAACAUAAUUGACAGGUAAUAAUAACCCAUCAUUUUAUUAUUAAUUAAACAUAAUACGAAAGAGUUACAUAACAUUUAACCGCUAUGGUCAAGAUUUCUUCCGUAUUGAAGAACGAGAAUAAAACCUAAAUUGUCAUUCACGCUCUCAUCAUUAAUAAUACUGUACAUAGUUAUUGGGUUACCCUCAGACCAUCCAUUCUUACCUGAAAAAAUCAUAACAAUAAUUGUAUUCAUAAAUACAUAAUGUUAAAAUAAAAAUUAUAAAUGACAUUCAACUAAACAUGGCCUAAGAACCUGGAUAAGGAGUUUCCAUCUUCUUCAAAUUAGAAAAGAUAUCUUCUAACGUCUGAUGAACCCUAACCAAAACUUAAAGAGGAUCACGCAUCAGGUUUGAUAAUAUGCUGCUGAUAUUUAUACACACAUUCACACAAGUAGCGAAUGUGGGUCGUGAUAGUGUUUGUCGGCAAUAAUUUAAUUACAAGACAAACUAAUUGCAAUCAUUAAAGUUAUCGUUUCGUUCAUUAAAUGUGGCCACACAUUCAAAUGCCUUUCACAAAGUUUUCCAUGGGUGAGAUUUGUCACAGGCAAUACAUACACGCGUCUCUGUUUUUUUAUUUAUUUUUGGAUGUUUUAGUUCCGUAGUUAAUGCCGUGUUUAUUAAUUAAAAUAUUAAAACGAUUGAUAACGUUUACUUGUUAAAAUAUAACAGAAAUAAGAAUGAAAUAUGUGGAAUUUAUGAACUGUUUAGAUUAAAAAAUGGUAAUUUAAUUUCCUCAUACUCACCAUUUUUACCCAACCUAAAUUUCAUAAUUUCAUUCUUAUCCUCUCAAUUAAAAUAUUAUUAUGUUGUUAUAUUAUUGUAUUAACGUUAUUGUUCUGAUUAUAAUUCUAGUCAUUGCUGUUAAGAAUAACGACGAUAAUAAUAAUAAUAUUUUUAAAAUAAUAAUAUUCACAAUUAAUACUUGUCGGCAAUUAUUGAAAUACAAGACAAACUAAUAGCAAUGAUAGAGUAGUGAUUUUAUUCCAGGACAUCACUUCAUUUGAAAAAAAGUUGAAAUAUUGGCACUCCUCUGGAAAAAUUCUUAUAAAACCUACCCGUUUUAAGGAACAAAGUAAAUUUAAUUAUAUACUAUAUUUCUCCAUCUAACUUUUUACAACCAUACAACUACAUCAAAGGCGAUUUAUAUUUUUUGUUUUCUCACACACACUUUUGUAUUCUAAACUUUUUUUUAAUUAUAAAAAAUUACAUAAUAGCCAUUUGAGUCCACUUUUAACUCUAUUCAAUUUAUACACACACGUAUGAUUUAAUAAUUCAAAAAUUUGUAAAAAAAUAUUUGUAGUUGGAGUUGUUUAAGAAACUGAUUUUUUUUUUUUUUGAAUCAGAAAGAAACUAAAAAAAAUGGAAAAAGAUAUUUUGGAAAUUAAAAUAGGUUUUGACAGAAAAGGAGCUUCAAAAGAAAAUUAGGGUGCUAAUAGUUCCAAUCUUUCAAAAUAUGGCCAGAACUAACAAAAUGCUGAUAUCAAUGGUUAAUACUUGUCCAUCUCUCUCGUUUGCUCUGUUUCUUACUUUGAUGCACACAUGACUUGAAAGCUUCAUCAUCCUCUAGCCUCCUUCUGUGAAAUCGUACUAACAAAUAACAGUAGCCUAUUAACGAUUUUUUUAUGCUCUUAAAGAAAAUUGAAGUAAUGUUUGAAUCUGCUUUCCUCUUUGACAUAAUUGUUAACAAAUAAUGUUACGAUGAUGAGAGCACAACACCGUUUAUUGAGGUGAGAUAUUUUUAACUCCACACUCAAAGACCAAAAUCUUGUACCUUCGCAUUAUUUAAAAAAUAAUUAACAACCUGAUUGUGAUUAUGGUUGACAAUAUAUCAUGUUGAUAAACAUAAACCUAAUAAACAAAACGACUAUGGCAAAGGCCGGAAUUACAAGGGUUAAUUUCAUUGUAUGUUUAGUUAAUGCAAUGCAAGCAGGCUGGAUAGAUAAGGCGCAAAUGGUGCAUAAGUUGGUAAAUAGACAACGAACUAAUCAGUGUCUCCAGUUCAACUGUGCGAAUUACAUGGAACCAUGUAUGGGUCCCACGACUGGAUAUAUAAUAUAUACUAUGAUAUACAGAGAUUUUCCCCUCAAAUAUAAGUUAAUUUAAAUGGGCUUACUACACUUGUCAUUUUUUUGUAUGAGACUAUUGUUCAUUAUAUUUAUAAUUAUAUAAUUAUUUAGAUUAGUUUACAUUAUAUUUUAUAUAGCACCGCUCAAAUUUUAAUCAUCUCAAAUAUUCGAGGGACGUCAAACUCCCAAAAAAACUCUAUCUAUGGGAGAAAAACCGUCAUUGAAUGGGUGCUAGUGGUAAUGAGUGAAUUGAAGAUCUUAAUUCUAAGAUCUUGGUGUCAAAUGAGCCUAUGAAAUAGGUCAUGGGUGCUACUUUGAUUUGUAGUUCUUUGUUUUUUUCUCUUUCUCUUUUUUUCUUUUUCAAUUGAAAGCACUUCGAGUUGUGAUAGGCUUAUUUAUUUGGUAAUUAAAUUUAAGAAUUCGUGUUAAAUUGAUAUAUUUUAUAUAUUUGUUUUAAUGUUGAUAUUUUCAUUUCUCAUUUACAUUGAUAAAAUGUAGAACUAAAUAUUUUAUGUGGUUUUUUAGGCAACAAUUAUAAAUUUAUAAUUUGAAUUACAUAAUUUAAAUUUUUUGAUUUUGUUGCGAGUGUGAUUUUAUACGUGGGAACUCACAAAAUAUCCACUAGGCACCAAUCAAACCCACAGUAAAUGGGCUUUGUUAAAAAAAUAAAAUUAUAUAUAACCCACAGCGAAUUUAGUAAUUAAAUUUUUUUGUAGAUGCGGGUUUGGUGAUGUCAAACCCGUACCAGACCCUACCCGCUACCAUCCCUAACUACACCGUAAACACCAAAAGACAUACAAAACAAUAAUGCAUAAAGUACGGGAAGUAAUGGGAAAUACGGGAAUAUUGCACACAUAAUCAGUGAGCCAAAUGUCAAGUACCUAUUUAUUUCAAAGCAACUUGUGACUAAUUACAUGCAUGGCUGCUUGUCGUUUGGAGACAUAUUAAUCCCCACCCCUUGCAACCACUUUGUCCACAAUGUCAAAGUCUUUGAGAAUCGCUAAUGGUUUUCCCAAGAAGCGUCUUCGACUAAUGCCCCCAUGCUUUUAACCAGUAUCGUGAAGAGAUGUGAGCUGUAGCAAAUGGGUUGGUCUCCCCUCUGGGGAAGUACAUUGGAGAGUGGAGAUGCAAUGAUUGAAGUUCAGUAAGGAUUGUUUGAAGGGUGGCGUCAACUUGGUCAAAGCUAGACUCGUGUCUAGCAAGGAUUUUGUGAAUCUCUUCGCGAAAUUCAGCAUUUGAUUUGUUGCGUGUUGCCAUGGAUCAUUUGACGGCUCGAAUACCACUUGAUAUCUAAUUCUAAGGAUUUGAUGCUACAACAGUAGGGGAAAGAAAAGGAUCACACAAUGAUAUUUUUUAUUAAUUUCUUUUUUCAAGAAGACACGGUACACAAAAGUAAAUAAAGAAAAUCUCUUGUAUAUCUCAAGAGAUUUUAUAAGUUGAACUAAAAAAAACAGAGACACUCACAUAAUUGACAGGCAUUAAUAACCCAUCAUUUUAUUUAAUUGAACAUAAUACGAAAGAGUAAG